UUUUUAUUAUAUGAAGUAGUUUAUUCUGGUUAGUUCAUAAAAUUGUAUAAAGUAGCUAAAUUGUAUUACUGAUUAUCUGGGAAGUUUCAGGUCUUCAGAUUUUUAUUUCUAUGGUGAAACUUAUUCUAAUUUCCAACCCAAGAUUCUGGAACACAUCUCCCAUUAUGAAGUGGGCCUCAGGAUGGGAGCGGAAACAGAGCCUCUUGUUCACACUCCACACCCUCAUUUUCCAGCAGUGAGGGUAGACUAUUAAGGCUCUCAUGUCAUCAAGGAUCGAGGCAAUGGGUUAAUGGAGACUCUAGACAUUUGUUUCCUCACCAGUGAAAAUUAAAUGAAGACCCAGGAAUCACUACAGCUAUAGGGAUGAGAAGGACAUUUCAGCAGCUAGAGUGUGGUGAAAUGGCCCAAGGAGAAGAGUACAAAGCAACAUAAUGGCAGAGAUGAUGUUCAGAUCUCCAGAUAUUGUGUCCCUGUCUCAGAGUCGCCAACAG
rnacentral:lncRNA from 1 species